UAUGUGCACGCUCACCAAUGUUUCAUUCAUCCCUCCCACCUGUGCACACACUGUAGGCCAGACCGUCAUUCUCGGGGAGUUCUCUCUGGUAUGAGGAAUUUGCUCCAGUGAACUGGGGCUUUCCUUGGAUAGUUUGGUCUAUGUCUUUACUCACACCAUUGUAUGUCAUCGAAUGUACGUUCUGAGCUCCGGCUCAUAAAACAAUAUACAACUUUCAACAACGGAUCUCUUGGCUCUCGCAUCGAUGAAGAACGCAGCGAAAUGCGAUAAGUAAUGUGAAUUGCAGAAUUCAGUGAAUCAUCGAAUCUUUGAACGCACCUUGCGCUCCUUGGUAUUCCGAGGAGCAUGCCUGUUUGAGUGUCAUUAAAUCCUCAACCUCACCUUCCUUGUUGGGGGGUGUGAGGCUUGGAUGUGGGAGUUGCUGGCUGUCACGGUCAGCUCUUCUGAAAUGCAUUAGCAGAGCCUUGCGUGUGCAUCUGUCACUUGGUAUGAUAGUCAUUUAUGCCAUGUGCGUUGUGCAUGUU
rnacentral:rRNA from 1 species